rnacentral:rRNA from 1 species
GGGUGAGUAACACGUGGGCAACCUGCCCAAAAGAGGGGGAUAACACUUGGAAACAGGUGCUAAUACCGCAUAACCAUAGUUACCGCAUGGUAACUAUGUAAAAGGUGGCUAUGCUACCGCCUUUGGAUGGGCCCGCGGCGCAUUAGCUAGUUGGUGGGGUAAAGGCUUACCAAGGCAAUGAUGCGUAGCCGAACUGAGAGGUUGAUCGGCCACAUUGGGACUGAGACACGGCCCAAACUCCUACGGGAGGCAGCAGUAGGGAAUCUUCCACAAUGGGCGAAAGCCUGAUGGAGCAACGCCGCGUGGGUGAAGAAGGUCUUCGGAUCGUAAAACCCUGUUGUUAGAGAAGAAAGUGCGUGAGAGUAACUGUUCACGUUUCGACGGUAUCUAACCAGAAAGCCACGGCUAACUACGUGCCAGCAGCCGCGGUAAUACGUAGGUGGCAAGCGUUAUCCGGAUUUAUUGGGCGUAAAGGGAACGCAGGCGGUCUUUUAAGUCUGAUGUGAAAGCCUUCGGCUUAACCGGAGUAGUGCAUUGGAAACUGGGAGACUUGAGUGCAGAAGAGGAGAGUGGAACUCCAUGUGUAGCGGUGAAAUGCGUAGAUAUAUGGAAGAACACCAGUGGCGAAAGCGGCUCUCUGGUCUGUAACUGACGCUGAGGUUCGAAAGCGUGGGUAGCAAACAGGAUUAGAUACCCUGGUAGUCCACGCCGUAAACGAUG